UUUUAAAUGGAGACUUGUAUGAACGGCGAAACCUUUUUCAACUGUCUCUCCUCCCACCCUUCAAAAUUUCUUUCCGUGUGAAGAAGCACAGAUAUACCAGAAAGACGAGAAGACCCUGUCGAGCUUUAACCAUUAAGUGAACACUCCUAUUUACUUAGAUAUCACCUAAAGGUUUUGGUUGGGGCAACCGUGGAGAAAAAAAAUCCUCCAGAAUAAAUAGAAGAAAACCCUUCACUAAUUAUCAACACUUAAAGAACCAGGAACUGGUAUUCGGAAAAAGUUACCGCAGGGAUAACAGCGUUAUCUCCUCUGAGAGUCCUUAUUGACGAGGAGGCUUGCGACCUCGAUG
rnacentral:rRNA from 1 species